AGAGUUUGAUCAUGGCUCAGAUUGAACGCUGGCGGCAGGCUUAACACAUGCAAGUCGAGCGGUAGCACGGGGGAGCUUGCUCCCUGGGUGACGAGCGGCGGACGGGUGAGUAAUGUCUGGGAAACUGCCUGAUGGAGGGGGAUAACUACUGGAAACGGUAGCUAAUACCGCAUAACGUCGCAAGACCAAAGAGGGGGACCUUCGGGCCUCUUGCCAUCAGAUGUGCCCAGAUGGGAUUAGCUAGUAGGUGGGGUAAUGGCUCACCUAGGCGACGAUCCCUAGCUGGUCUGAGAGGAUGACCAGCCACACUGGAACUGAGACACGGUCCAGACUCCUACGGGAGGCAGCAGUGGGGAAUAUUGCACAAUGGGCGCAAGCCUGAUGCAGCCAUGCCGCGUGUGUGAAGAAGGCCUUCGGGUUGUAAAGCACUUUCAGCGAGGAGGAAGGUGGUGAGCUUAAUACGCUCAUCAAUUGACGUUACUCGCAGAAGAAGCACCGGCUAACUCCGUGCCAGCAGCCGCGGUAAUACGGAGGGUGCAAGCGUUAAUCGGAAUUACUGGGCGUAAAGCGCACGCAGGCGGUUUGUUAAGUCAGAUGUGAAAUCCCCGGGCUCAACCUGGGAACUGCAUUUGAAACUGGCAAGCUAGAGUCUCGUAGAGGGGGGUAGAAUUCCAGGUGUAGCGGUGAAAUGCGUAGAGAUCUGGAGGAAUACCGGUGGCGAAGGCGGCCCCCUGGACGAAGACUGACGCUCAGGUGCGAAAGCGUGGGGAGCAAACAGGAUUAGAUACCCUGGUAGUCCACGCUGUAAACGAUGUCGAUUUGGAGGUUGUGCCCUUGAGGCGUGGCUUCCGGAGCUAACGCGUUAAAUCGACCGCCUGGGGAGUACGGCCGCAAGGUUAAAACUCAAAUGAAUUGACGGGGGCCCGCACAAGCGGUGGAGCAUGUGGUUUAAUUCGAUGCAACGCGAAGAACCUUACCUACUCUUGACAUCCAGAGAACUUAGCAGAGAUGCUUUGGUGCCUUCGGGAACUCUGAGACAGGUGCUGCAUGGCUGUCGUCAGCUCGUGUUGUGAAAUGUUGGGUUAAGUCCCGCAACGAGCGCAACCCUUAUCCUUUGUUGCCAGCGGUUCGGCCGGGAACUCAAAGGAGACUGCCAGUGAUAAACUGGAGGAAGGUGGGGACGACGUCAAGUCAUCAUGGCCCUUACGAGUAGGGCUACACACGUGCUACAAUGGCGUAUACAAAGAGAAGCGACCUCGCGAGAGCAAGCGGACCUCAUAAAGUACGUCGUAGUCCGGAUUGGAGUCUGCAACUCGACUCCAUGAAGUCGGAAUCGCUAGUAAUCGUAGAUCAGAAUGCUACGGUGAAUACGUUCCCGGGCCUUGUACACACCGCCCGUCACACCAUGGGAGUGGGUUGCAAAAGAAGUAGGUAGCUUAACCUUCGGGAGGGCGCUUACCACUUUGUGAUUCAUGACUGGGGUGAAGUCGUAACAAGGUAGCCGU
rnacentral:rRNA from 1 species